UACGUAGGGGGCAAGCGUUGUUCGGAAUUACUGGGCGUAAAGGGCGCGUAGGCGGCACGGCAAGUCAGGAGUGAAAGCCCGGGGCUCAACCCCGGAAUGUCUUUUGAAACUGCCGAGCUAGAGUGCGGAAGAGGCAACUGGAAUUCCCAGUGUAGCGGUGAAAUGCGUAGAUAUCUGGAGGAACACCGGUGGCGAAGGCGGCACUCUGGACCGAAACUGACGCUGAGGCGCGAAAGCCAGGGGAGCAAACGGG
rnacentral:rRNA from 1 species